UGCGUAGGCGGCCGUUUAAGUAGGGUGUGAAAUGCCAGAGCUCAACUUUGGCAUUGCGCUCUAGACUGAAUGGCUUGAGUGAGAUAGGGGUGUGCGGAACUUCCAGUGGAGCGGUGAAAUGUGUUGAUAUUGGAAGGAACGCCGGUGGCGAAAGCGGCACACUGGGUCUUAACUGACGCUGAGGACAAAGCCAGGGGAGCGAACG
rnacentral:rRNA from 1 species